GCCCCAAUUUCCUUUCACGGCCUAUUGGGACGUGUAGUUCUUCCUCUCGCCGUCCGGCUCCGAGAGGAAACGCGACUAGGGGACCAAAAAACUACAAAUCCCUGCAUCCUCCGCGACGAGGGCGGGAGAGGCGUGGUGCUGAGCGUUCUGGUGCUGUUUGGUUGGAGAUGGAAACCAACAAAGGGUAGGGCUGGGGUUCUGCUGCGCCUUUUCGGUGCUGGGCGCUUCACACGUUACGCACGUUCUUUAUCUAAUCUUCACGACAACCCUGCGAGGCACUAUUGUAUCCAGCCGACUACUUGCCAGAGAUCACAAACCGCCCGGGUGGUCGAGAUGGGAUUGAACCCAGAGCCCUGAGAAUUUCACUUAUUAAGCGCUGCCUAGCUGUAGGACUGAAGACCUUGGCUUUUGCUGGCUGUCCACUGGAGACUGCCCUCAAUUCCUAGGUGGCACCUGGCAUUCAUGGGCCAGCACGGCCACUUACUUCAUCAAGUCAGCAAGGAGAGUCACCAGAGCAAACCUGCUAGCAAGAUGGAAUCUCAUAUAACACAAGGAAAUACAUUAAAUUUAUAAACUGAGAAGAAUCGACAACUUGUACAGGUAGCACCUAACAGCUCUGGAACUGACAUGCCAUGAAACACAUUUUGAAGAGUGCUGAUCUAUUCACUCCACUCAUUUUACGGAGGAGGACAGUGAAGCCCCUAUCAAGAGAUGCGGAGACAAUCAUUCCCCACGCCUGGCAGGGCUGGGAACUUGACCCUGGCUUCCAGACAACCUGUCCAGGCUCUUUCUCUCACCUUGAAAGAGGAGUCAUUAAUGGUGGCAGCUUUGAGGCAUCCCCUAGCACAUUUUCAUUGUCUGGAAUUUGAGGUUGUAUUUAUUUAUAGUUCACUCAGCAAUGAAUCCAUCAAAUGCUCUGAAUGUUUCUAAAAGGGCAUUGGGCCCUGUGCAGCUGACCUAAA